ACCCUUAUUGCUCUUUAUGCUUCCCAUGUAUGUAGGACAGUUCAUCUUCCAAUGGCCAUUUCAUGAUGCAAUGGAAACGCUUUCCCUUGCAUUCGGCCUUUUCUUGGAACUUCCUUGCUUGGCCUUUUCUCGGUCUUCUGCUUCUUCGCAGGCCUCUUCUUCUUCCAGGUAGACUCUCUCUUGGAAGUAGAAACCAACUCGACAGCAAGAACGAUGCCCCUUGAACUCUUUAAGGUCCCUAAGGUAGUUACUAAUUUAUUUAACAAUUCUAUUUUAGUGCAUACAACCUUGUUCAUAUGGUAGUUUACUAUAAACUAUUCAUAUGAAGCUGGAAGGGAUUGCGGGAUCAAAUCCGUUUGC
rnacentral:lncRNA from 1 species